CCUACGGGUGGCAGCAGUGGGGAAUAUUGGACAAUGGGGGCAACCCUGAUCCAGCCAUGCCGCGUGUGUGAAGAAGGCCCUCGGGUUGUAAAGCACUUUCAGUGAGGAAGAACGCCUGGUGGUUAAUACCCAUCAGGAAAGACAUCACUCACAGAAGAAGCACCGGCUAACUCCGUGCCAGCAGCCGCGGUAAUACGGAGGGUGCGAGCGUUAAUCGGAAUUACUGGGCGUAAAGCGCGCGUAGGUGGCUUGAUAAGCCGGUUGUGAAAGCCCCGGGCUCAACCUGGGAACGGCAUCCGGAACUGUCAAGCUAGAGUGCAGGAGAGGAAGGUAGAAUUCCCGGUGUAGCGGUGAAAUGCGUAGAGAUCGGGAGGAAUACCAGUGGCGAAGGAGGCCUUCUGGACUGACACUGACACUGAGGUGCGAAAGCGUGGGUAGCAAACAGGAUUAGAUACCCUUGUAGUC
rnacentral:rRNA from 1 species